UUGUGCAGUAUUUUUUCCCAUAUAAAGCGUUUCCCCAGGUAAUGAAAUGUUCUUGAAAGUUUAAAAUUUUAAUGGCUCCACUAUGUUUCAUCCUAUGGAUACCACAAUUACUGUGGUAAACCUCCUCAUUUUGGAUAUUUAAGUUACAAUUUUGCUCUUAUAAAUAAACACAACAGUGACCAUACUUAUUUAUUUAUAAAUCAUUUUAUAAAACUGAAAUAAUUUCAUUGUGAAAAUUUGAGCAGUAAAACAAUAAAAGGAAUUAAAAAAGGGGGGGAAGGAACAGCUGAUUUAGCUAUAUAAACUCAAACACUCUACACAUAAGAAUCACCCCAUAAAAAUAAAUAGCAGAACAACAAACUGCUAGAAAUGGCUGGAUUUCCUUAAACUUUUAGGCAGGUCUUAGUAUAAGCCCAUUGAAACCGGUAAUUGUGAUGUUGGUUAUCUGUAGGGUCAAGAUAGUUUUGCCAUGCAAUGUUUACUGAUUGGCCAUUUACUAAUACUCUCAGUUAUCCUUGUUUAUCAUAGGGCUAGAAAGAACCUUAAAAGAUAAUCUAAUCCAUUGAGAGGUUUUUAGGGCUGUCUGUUCCAAACUAUCCCAGACAGAUGGGAAUCGAUGUUGUUUUUAAGGUUCUCUAGAUAAGAAGAUUCCAUAACCUUUCUUGAUAACCCAUGUCAGAGUUUAAGAACUGUAUUGUCAGGAAAUUCUUUCUUUUAUCUAACUUAAAUCCCCCAUGCUUUAGUUUAAACCUAUCCCCUUCCUCUGCCUUUCCCUCACCUAGAGGAGGAUGGGGACCAUCUGACCAGCACUCUUUACAGAGUAACUCAUCACAUAAACACCACUGGUAGAGGAUUAUUAUAUUUCUUCUUUAUUUUCUCUUCCCUCGACUAUAUAAACUUGGUGCCUUCAAGUUUUAGGAUUGUAGGUCCUAAGUGAUUAAUUUACAAGCCCUUUAAUCAUAUUCACAGCACUCUUUUUAAAUGUCUCUAAAUUUUCUGAGUUUUACAUACCUCCAAUCAUUCAUGAAGAUAGAUACAAGACACUGGAUGUAGAUAUCAGUAAAGGUUGUAGAAACAGGUCAUCUUUCUAGGAGCCACUGCUUUCAGCAAGAAGGAACUUUCUGGGAGAGUUCACACUUGCUGGUAGACAAAGAUAUUGGGGGAUAUUCAUAGUAGAGAAGAGGGUUGGUUACAUGGAACUACAGAUUUUGUCUUUAUAGCCUCCCAGACCUAAGUAGGAUGGUUUGGCUUCUGCACCCUUAGGGAAUCCGUGGCAACUAAAAGCUAGACCCAGUUAUGGCUGCUGACACCUUUGGUAAUACAGCAUCAAGCAGUUUUUAGUGGGAAAGCACAUGGCCUUGGGGCCACCUCGGAUGCUCCCAGGUGCAGAGACAAAAUUUCAAAGGAUGUAGAAUCUACAAGGUUAGUGAUGAAAUGCCAGAUACCUUGGUUGCCUCUGUCCACUGAGAUUCAGUCACAGUUAAAAAAAAAAAAAAAUCUGUGAAUUUAGCAUUGAGAGGAGACAGAUUUAAGUGUCAUCAGUAUGCUGACAGGUAGCAAGAUAAGAUAAAGUAAUAACCUGGAAGUUAAGAGAGCUGUGUUCUGGCAUUAGCUAUGUCCCUCAGUCAUGAUGUGACAUUUCUAUUCCUCUGGGUCCCCGCGCAUAAAAUGUAGUGAAUUACAGAAUAUUUUAAACUCUUCAGAAAAAGACUCUUCACAAAUAUAAGCUGCUACGGUUAAGUACUGAUGGAACUAAACCUUAGCUUGCCAUCAUAUGUAAGUAGGCAAUUCUUCACCUGUGCCCAUUUAAGCAUUGCACAGCAAAAUUAAGAGUUGAGUCUAUACUUGAUCAUCGGUCUGUGGGGGAUUAUUCAGGAAUAAUUUAAAAUUCUAACUCCUUCAACCAAAAACUUAUGGGCUAUCUUUCCUUUCCAUCAGUGUAUUAAUGUUUAUGGAAUGUACAACUAAUUUUAAUGUUUCCUAAGUUGAAUAUAAUGAGGUAAGCAAAAGAGCAGUUUAAAGGAAUUCUAUAGAGUUCCAGCCAAGUAAAAGUGGAUGGAUGGAUGGAUGGAUGGAUGGGUAGAUAAAGAUUGAUGAAUAAAUAAUCUCUUGUUUUGCUUGCUUUGCUGAUUUUGUCACUGACUUCCUUCCACUGAGUACAGUCCACAAGAGUUAACCACUUUGCUCAUUUUCCUUCUACCCUUUCCCAAAUAGACUAGAAAAAUCCUAUUUCAAACACUACUGAAUUUGCACCCUGUGAUUCAUAUGUGUGGUAAUAUAGCCAAAGUCAUUUUUCUUCAACAGAGCUUAUUAAUUUAUUCAUCCAAAGACUAUCUUAACUGCAUCAGUGUGAACAACAAAAGGAAAAUAAUAAAUGACAUGAGUAGCAAUACACUGUGCUUGGAAUGCCUAUCCUUCUAUAAAGAUAAAUGCUGGUUGUCUCUAACAUACUUGGGUGCAAAGAUUAAGGUCCCUGAAGAAGGUACAUUUAAUAAAAGCAACCUAUCAUUAAGAUAAGGUUUUUUUUUUUCCCUAAAAGAUAUUAAUUUUUUUCCUCUCCUGUAGAUUAAAAACAACAACAACAACAACAAAAAGUUCUUUGGGCAAAUAUGGCCCUGGUGUGAUACUUGGAGGGCAGGGAGAAGGGAAGGCAAGUGGGGACUGAAUCUGCAAACUGGUUUGAUGCUAUGUGGCAGCAAAGAAUGUCACACCUGCUAGGCCAUAGCCAACUUCCUAAGAGAAGUCUUGCGGUGCAGAAGACUUAAAAACUACCAGUAGAGUGAGCAACCGUCCAUGCUUCUUGAGAAAUGAUUACAUAGGAGUAGGUACUAUAAUUAAACUAAUUGUAUGCCUCCAUCAGUGUAGCCACGGCCACUUGACAUUCCUACCUAGCCAGCAAGUGUCCUCGUUACCAGAGCCCAGGUUAAGUGUUGAGGGAAUUCGUGGCCCCUCUUGAGGCAUCUGUAUGCUUCAUUUAAGCAUACUCCAGUUGACAAUAAAAAUCACACUCUGCCUUAGUAAUACGAUAUUCAAGAGUUGCAAACAGAAUGAGUCUUUGCAAUUUUGAGAGGGUUAAUGCCCUGCACUUCCUUCACACAAAUAAAAGAUGGAGAGGAUUAAAGUCUGGGAGAUUACCAGCCGUUCCGAGCUUGUUUGACAGGCUGGAACCUGAGAACCUGACUGCAUCAAAAUGUAAAACAAAUGCUGUUUGUCACCUGUAACAAGGAGGACUCAGAUGUAAUUUCUAGGCUUGAAUAAUAGGGGACAGAGAAAACAGUACACUGGGGAAUGCCAGGUCUCUCAUUUGCGUCAUGACUAAUAAAAAAGAGAUAUAAAAGGAGGAGGCCCUGAAAAUGAAUGGUUCUCUAGGAAAUUCAUACAGGAAAUCACCAACCUAUGGGACUUUAAAAUCUCGAAGUUUGGUCUGAAGUUUAGUUUAUUUAGCCUUUAGCCUUUAGUUUGUUUAGCCUUGACGUUCUUAACUCCUGAAAUAAAGUCAAUGGACAAAUGGAAAACUUUCUCCCUUGUUCUGUUAUCCUGCCAUGGGUGAUUUACUUGAAGAUUUCUAAGAAUUCCAUAUUUCAGCUCCAUAUUAGAACUGACAGAUGCAUUCAACUUGCAGACAGGGAGGCUACAUGAUGUUCACGACAUGGGCUGGGAGAUGGGAGGAGAAGGGGCUCCAGAAAAGAGGUACAUUUUGUUUCUUGCUCUUCCAUGUGUGUUUUUUCCCAAGGCUGAAUUCUCAUUUCUGUGCAACUGUGCUUCUCUGCUUUCUUACUUGCAAAGAGAAAUUGAGGAUUUACUGUGCUAGGUACUAUACUAAAUGCUUUAUGUGUCCUACCUCGUUUAACUUGAUCCUUAUCUUACUCUUUUUACUUUGGCAGGUCCUGGUACAGAAAAGGACCAGUCUUGGAAAAACCAUGAAAUUAGUUGGGCAGCACUCUCCUCUCCAAUGCUCACCCUGGUACUGCCUGGGAUUCCUGUCAAGGCAUCCCACUGCGGUGGCCCUUCUGGAAACAGUUCUCUGUUCUGGAAGUUUUGUGAUGCCCUGACAUCUGUUAAAUCCUGAGGUCCCAGCUGAGCUUCAGGUAAUCAUAGGGCGUACAAAGGUAUACUGUAAGCUGUUGCCAAAGGCUCCUUGUAUUCACUUCAGCAGUGAACACAGCCCUUUAACAGCACCUUCAGUGUCCUGGGCUGCAAGGAGAGGGCCCCGUGGAAAUCCCAAGUACCAGAACUCUGGCAAGGGUUAGAGAGACUCCUCACCUCCCCAGUUUCAAUCCUUGAAGGAAGCCUAUUUCACCCAUAUGCAUUUACAAGGAAGGUUCUAGACCUUUCUAAUGUUGGCUUGAGCAUGGCCCAGCAGUGCACAGGAAUUGUGGCAUUUUCUGAGAGAAGAGCGCCACCAUCAGGAAGAGAGUGUAGAGGCACCGGGGAAAAGGGCACAAGUCAGAAAAGCUGGCUUCUAAUUUCAACGCCGGGAAAGUGCAGGCAGGCCACUUAUUCCCUCUAACGUCUGUUUUCCCAAUUUCAAAAUACAAUAACAAUCCAUUCUUGAAUUUAUGUCACAUAAACUAGCUAGUGUGAGCUAAUGAAGGCGACUACUUGGACAAGUUAAAAGUAUAUAAAUGUAGGCUACUGAUGUGACUAAAAUUACAGACCCUGGUUAUGUCUAAUGGACUACCUACAAGAUUAUGAACGCCCAAAUACAGAUGGCAUAGAAAAAAAAAAUCACAAAAGGGACUGGGGUAUUUUCCUUUAUGACCUGAGCCUCUCAAGAUGCUUUCUGAGGAAUAGAAUACACAUUCUGGGCUGUGUCUACUUCAUUAUUGUCUGUUUACCUGAAUUAUAGCAGCAUGACUGAUUGAGACGAGACAUAAUGUUAUUUAACUGUAAAUUUGUUGCACAACCUAUUGAACACGAAGUCAAAGUAAGUUAUGAUUGAACAAUGGAAAUAAAUAGCUAUAAAUACAAUGGCAAUGUGAAAAUCAAAAUAGAGCAGGCUAUUAUUUUGUUCUGACAUUAAUUGUAUAAUAAUACCUAUAUUUAAGGCUGUGACUCAAUUUUGUGUGUCAAGUCAGAAAAACAAUUGAUAUAAAAUAUCUGAAUUAGUAGUGGCUGCUUUUCAUUGUCACCAGCUUCUUCUGUCCAAGAAUCUCUGUAAAUAAAUUUUGAUGCGGCAACCAUGCCCAAGGUCGUAGGUUAGAUAAUGGUUAUCCAUAGCAAAUGGGUUUAAAUGCAUUCAGAAAAGGUCUAGCUGUUUGAACCUAAAAUAACCUAGUACUCUAAAGAUCACAAUUCUUUGUCCCUCCAAUGCUGAGAUGCUAAAGUGCCACCAGCUUGGGUACUAAUUUAAGACAGAGUAAGACUGGCUUGAGGUGUGGGGAGAGCUAGGAAGAUGAGUAGGGUGGAGUCAACUAAAGGACAGUGGAGAGAAUGUGUUUGGGGGCUUAGUGGGUAAGAGAGGGCCUGAAAGGAGAGUGUGGAAAGCAGCCAGAUAGAACGAACCUGAUUCUAUGUGGCCGUGAUGUGUGACACGUAGGAGGCAAAAUAGGGCAACGGGUAAUCUCCUGCACUCGUUCUCCUAGUUAAACUAGUAAAAUUUACUCCCAUUAGAUGAGAUUAGUUAUCUGGAGAUGUUACCUUAAGGGGCAGGAUGAAAUCCAGGGUCUAGAAAUCUAAUCAAGGUGAGUGUGGCUGGAAUGUGGGAAGAUGGCUGAGGCUCAGCCAAUGGUGUUGAUAAACCCAAAGAGGGAAAUAAUGUGUUCUGCUGAAAUCUAUGCAUGGGUGGGAGCAGAGGGCGGAAUGGACAAAGAAGAAUCUGUCAGUGUGUCCUCGACGCUGUCCAGAGGAAGAAGUGGUCAGGUUUUUGCCUUACUUGGCAGGUAAGUAUAUCUCCACUCUGGGCACUAUAUUUUAUAGCACGCGUAUGUCUCUAACUAUACGGUGUGAUGACAUUAGAUCUUCCAUCUACCACCUUCUCUGGUCCCAUGAGCUCCUGACUCUAAAAUGCUUUGCCAACCUACUCUCCUGCAGAGAAGAAUGUGCAGGUAAUCAAGAAAACCAAGUACCCAGGUCGGCGUGGCAAUAUUCUAUCCCACUGUAGAUUAAUAAAUUACAUUGGCAAUCUGUUUUAUGCAGUAAUUUCCUCCAAGAUUUUUUCCAUUCCCUAGAACAGUUGUCCAAGUUACAUCCACCUAAGGAAACAUGGACAAAAUCAACUUUCUCAAUCUGCAAAACUGAGGUGAUCCUGGGUUAGGAUUGCAAAAAGAAAAUAAAAAAAGGAGGAGAAAGGAAUGAGGAAGGUAUAUAAGACAUAUUAGAAAGACACAGUUAUCCCAUAUACUGGCAUAAGAAAAAAAAAAGAUACCAAUGAAACUGAGUACAUAAUAAUAGAACUGUAAUAGACUCAUGUAUGUAGAAGAAUAUAUACAACAAAAUUAUAUAUUGAUAAAUAACAAGAACCAAGUACUUUCAGUAUGCCUAGGAACAUCUCAUUUCUUCUUCAUUGUGACUUGGAGUCCUAUUAAGUAGUUGCCCAUGUCACAAAGCAGGUGUGUGACAGAGCCGGGAUUCAGACUGCUGCAUUCAGGCCCCAGAGCCCAUGCCCUUGACCAGUGUGCUGCGUGUUGUCUCAGGGCAUCACAAUCCUCAUGGACAGGAAUAAUGUUCUCUAGUGGCUGGUGCUGGGAAAACGUCUUUAUUACGUUAAGAAAAAAAAAAAAAAUCAAGUUGGAUUACUACAUCCCUAGAUUACGCUAUAAACCACAAAGUAGAAUGUAACUAGAUUAACGACCAAAGUAUGAAAGAAAUUGGAGGGGUUAAUGAGAGGAAUUACCAACAAAGCAAAGUUGAAGUGAUGGAAAACUUCAAAGAAAGUGCUAGUUGGUGUUCAUAAGAGUCAGACAAAGAACGGCUGAGUAGAGUCAUUUCUCAUCAUUCAAGCUUACUAAUUUCCAGAUUCCCAGAGCCACCCCGGGGGGCUUCAGAUUCCAUAGGCCUAGGGAUGACCCAGACAUUUUUCCAAUUUUAAAGCAAGCUGUGCCACAGACUAUACUUCUCAAGAUUUGGGGACGCAAAGUUCUGAAAGUUCAGAGGAAAAAAUGAUACGGUCCCAUGACCAGAGUCUAAGACAAAAAGAUGGCUUAAGGGAGAAGUGAGGUACCCAACAAUGAAACGUUGACGAUAAAACUGUAAAGUUAAUAUGGGUGAGUUAAAAUGCAGUGGAGGAUGUGGGGAUGUAAAUAAUGGCAUGUGGCUGAUGACACAGGAAUGAUACAACAGAGGAGAAAAGCACACAAUCAGAAACCAAUACAAAGAGGAUUGGCUUAAGAACAGUGUCAGGAGGGGUUAAAUCUGAGAAUGAGCUCAAGCUUGAGAAAAAUGCAGAGGACAAUAAAAGGAAUUGUUAACGUA